rnacentral:rRNA from 1 species
UGCCAGCAGCCGCGGUAAGACGAACCGUGCGAACGUUAUUCGGAAUCACUGGGCUUAAAGCGCGUGUAGGCGGGACGGCACGUCGGUCGCUGAAAUCCCCCGGCUCAACCGGGGAACGGGCGCCGAUACGACCGCCCUGGAGGGACGUAGGGGGACCUGGAACUUCCGGUGGAGCGGUGAAAUGCGUUGAGAUCGGAAGGAACGCCCGUGGCGAAAGCGAGGUCCUGGACGUUUUCUGACGCUGAGACGCGAAAGCCAGGGGAGCGAACGGGAUUAGAUACCCCGGUAGUCCUGGCUGUAAACGAUGGGCACUGGGUAGGGGGCUCGCCGAUGGGCUCCCUGCCGUAGGGAAACCGUGAAGUGCCCCGCCUGGGGAGUAUGGUCGCAAGGCUAAACUCAAAGGAAUGACGGG